ensembl:lncRNA
GUUUGAGAGCGGGUGGGUGGUAGCCAAAUGGGAAGGACGACGCUAGCGCCCCGUUUUGUGCCCCAGCGGGCAAAGAGCUCCCUGGCAAUCCCAGGUCAGUGGGGCAGGAGGCCGAGCGUGGAGCGCGGCCAGGGCGCGGGCUGGAUCGGGUUUCCGGAAAGACGUGCUAGGGCCCGCGCGGGUGGGAGUUGCCUGGCCCCGCUCCGCGCUCCACCUCUAGCCUGGCUUCCGCCCGCCGGUCGCGGUCCCCGGGCGAAGGAGGCCACUAGACUCGGCCUGGAGCGCCCCCUGACGGCCAGUCGGAGUGGGCGCGCCUGCCCGUGGGAGAGCCAGACAGGAGAGCAAGCAGCUAGCGCCGGCCAAGCGCGCCGGGACGGCCCGGGGUCUGCGCCCCGGUGGACCCCUUCCCGCCGCUGGCGCGCUGCUCUAGUUCACCACGGCGGUCCAGAGCCCGGACGCUAAGGCGGCGGCAGCGCAGACCAAAGGAGCCCGUGGCAGUUCCCGCCGAGACAGCGCCCAGCGACUGGAAACGAACCAGCAUUCACUCCGGGGAGACCGCAUUACAAAACCUACAUGUCAAGGAACUGAAGUCUCCUGCCAAGAGUUACGUGAGUGGCGGAGGAUCUGGUCAGAUAAGACUGCAGCCGCAGCCAACAGUUUCACUGCAACCUAACGAGAGAUCCUGAGCUAGCAUCCCCCAGCCACGCUGUUCCUAGUUUCCUGACCCUCAGACAGGGUGUGAGAUGGAUAAGUGCUAUUUCAAGCUGCUGAACUUUGGGAUAAUGUGUCCUGCAGCGAAGCAUAACUAAUACAAUCCCAAAUAAUUCAUCUAUUUCUACAGUUUCAAGCCAAACCUGAAAUUUAACUGGUAUGUGGGCAAGACACUUUGAUAAAGUGUUUCCCAAGUUAGCCAAAUGAAUGAACAGAUGAGAACGGUCUAGAAAAUACAGUGGAAUGUUGAACUCUCUACUGCCAGUAUUCAGACUUCUAAAACAAACAUUUCAGUCCUGACACACACACACAAAAAAACAGAUAGAUUGAAAUAAGAAAGCGCAGUUGUUGCUGUUUAAUCACUAAGCUGUGUCUGACUCUUUUGCAACCCCAUGAACUGCAGCCUGCCAGGUUCUUCUGUCCAUGGGAUUUUCCAGGCAGGAAUACCAGACUGGGUUGCCAUUUCCUUCUCCAGGGGGUCUUCCCAACCCAGGGAUCAAACCAGUCUCCUGCAUUGCAGGCGGAUUCUUUACCACUGAGCCAGCAGGGAAACCUGAGACAGCCGAUACUCAGAUCCAAAUACGUAUAUAAUUAGAAUGUGACCCAACUGACACCUAAUAACAGGGUGAAGGAGAGGAUGGCUAUUUAUUCAAUAAACAGAGCUGGGACAAUUAGCCAGAUCCUUGCUUGGUACCUGUGAUUGUACCAGGAUAGCCCUCAAGGGUCAUGACCUUAGGGCUUCUGUGACAUGCAAAAGAAUAACUACUGCGUAAUUAGUCAUAAUCGUGGGAAACUUCAAAAUAACAGGUGGAUUCAAUAAAAGGGGCUUAGAUUAAUAAAUCAUGGUGAGUCUAUAGAAUGAAAUCCUAUACAGACAUUAGAACUGACGUUGAGCAUAUCUGUUGGCAUAAAAGGGUAAUCGUGAUAUAUUACUAGGGGAAAAUCAUGUGUAGGGUGCUCCCAGCCUACUGUAUCAGGACAAAGAGUAUUUUAACCCCCAGUGCCUUCUAAAGAGAGUAGACAGGUCCUAAUAAAAGGAAAGGCACAGAGUCUUGCCUAGUGCUCCCGUUGUUAAAAAUUCACCUGCCCAUGCAGGGGACAUGGGUUUGAUCCCUGGUCCAGAAACUGGGAUCCCACAUGCCGCAGGCGACUAAGCACAUGAGCCACAACUAGUGAAGCGGACGUGCCUAGAGCCUAUGCUCUGCAACAAGAGAAAUAAGAAAGCAGUGAGAAACCCGGGGACCACAGCUAGAGAGCAGCUUCCGCUCUCCACAGCUAGAGGAAGUGCCCGCACAGCAGCGAAAAUCCUGCACAUACAAAAAUAAAUAAGUAAAUCCUGAAAAAAAAAAAAAAAAAAAAGGAGCGGCCCAUGAACUUCUGGAAACCAUGCUAGGUUUAGAUAUGCACAUUUGGGAGGCCAAGCUGUGGUGAGCUGACUUGCUCCAGGACUGAAAACCAGGAUCUCUGAGCCCACAGGAGGCAGGGGAAGAAGCAAAGCGACGGCCACACACCUGAGACGGUGGACCACUCUGCCCCAGAUCUUCAUCAAAAUGAUUUAACUCAUAAAACGCUUGUUGUGAGAUUUAUUUAAAAAAGAAAAAAAAGUGAACUUUAAUGGGACAUAGUAGUGGAAGGCAUGUGGGCGCGAGUGCCAGGUAUUAGCAGAGUUCAUGAGCAGAGCUUGGGGCUUUCCCCACCAUGGAAUUGCUGGGGUCGGAGUACACAGGUUGAGAAUACCAAUGCUGAUGUUAAAUAAAAAGCACAGGCACACACAUUUGUGAUUAUAGCUUCAGAGCCCAGGGUUGCAGCCAGCCAGACCUGACCUUCCAGUGGCGCAGAGCUUCUUGGGUAAUCAGGUCUCUGCACAAGGCUUUGAUCAGCGUUCAGUGGGUGCGGUAAGUUAUGUCAGAGCCAUGUGGCCAGGCUCACAGUAGGUGGCAAGGGGAGUUGUUUCCUGCUCCUUAAUAUGGGACUGAGUUCCUCACUAACUUGGUGAAUCAACAUACUAGGCGGGGGUGGUGGGUGUUGGGAGCUAAUUCUAUGUCCCCAGAUUCCUUCUGGUUUACAGGAAGUCCUAAAUCCUGCACAGGCGUGUUUCCUGAGCCUGGGACUGAUACACAAAACAAGCAGAAAUCAGCUGAUUUUCUACUACAGUUUGAACUUGUGGCUGCCAGCACUCGGGGAGUCCAGGAAUGCACCAGCAUUCCAAGAGGUGGAGACACUGAUGGAGAGAAAACACGGGGCAGUGUGAAGUCUGGUCAUAUCCCCACGGCCCCAUGCCUCUCUGAGACUACCCCACCCUCCCUGUUAUCAGAGUCCCCUUCCGCUUCACCUCCUCUCCGUUAAGGUCAUUACGACCAGUUACUUGGCUAGUCCUGCAUUUGUCUUGCCAAGGAUGCCACAGGGGUGGACUGGACAUGACACCAAGGACCUGGGCCAGACCCUCUCUAAGGGCUGUUUCUGAUGGCCCAUUUACCACUGGAGGUCCCUCCUGGGCUCUGCUCUCUCUUUGAUGGCAGCCAUCCCACCUCCUUGCUGCCCAGCCCCCCUUCCAUCACCUCCCCCAGAAAGCCAGUGACACAGCAAAAAAAAGGUAGUUUCCAGAAAUGAUCCUUGGCUCACUGGAUGCCGAGUCCUUUGGGCUGCACACCGCUCGUAUAGCAGGGAGCUCUGGGUCCUCAGGUGGAGGGAAUAUUGAGCGGGCUGCCCCCUCUCCAUCACAGACAACCUACGCUCAUCUGCACUCCCGCUCCCUAAACCUCUCCAGGAGCCCUAGUCCUGCUAAUUAGAAAAUGCUUGACUCCAUCCAAAUCCCCCUGGAACCAGGCCACUCAGCACAAGUAUAACAGAUUGACUCAGUGUCAGUCCAGGACUGAUUCUUAUUAACUCAAAGGGCAGGAGGCGACUCUGAGGCCGCAGAUGGCAAACAGGCUUGUGCUAUGGGCAGUCGCCCACACAGCCCUCCCCAGGUCCCCUGACUAAAGACCACAUGUCGGCCAGGCCUGCCUGCUGCCUCUCUCAGCUGCAGAGUCACCUCCAAACCACAGGCCUGGCCCCACCAGGCCCCUAGCCUGUCCCGCCCAGUGGAGAGGAGCAGCACUGCCCCCACCCUAUAAGUACCUGAGAACUCCAGGGAGCCCUGGGCUCCUAUCUGGGCCCAGAAGAGCGAGCAGAGAUCACUCCCAAUACUUCCUGCAUGCCCACCAUGAGGCCACAGGCACUGUGAUAAGGCCUUUCUUCUCCUAACUUCUUUAAUUUUUAGAAUAAGAUUAUGAGGCAGACAGUUUUAUUAUUCAAAGGUCAAUUUUGUUGUCAAAGUUGACAGCUGCUAAUGAUCCAGGACCUAAACCUAAGUCUUAGUGAGCCCUAACAGGUUCUGCCCUUUCAUCCUCCACCUCCACCCUCUGGGUUCUUGUUCUGAGCUGAACAGUCCUUCUGGGGCCAUGCAGUGGUGUCUCACCUCCCCAGUGGUCACUCCUGGUGGGUAUGGACAAAAAUACAUGUGCCUCCUGCUCCUUGCCACCAUCUGCCCACAGACCACAUCUGUCCCUGUGGGAUCCCACAUGCCAUUCAGCUUGAAGAAGCGACCGCCACCUCCAGGCUGCUUUUGGGAGCAGUGAGAAGGCUGAGCAGAGGCUGUGAGCUAGGCAAACAGCCUCCCACAGGCUGGGUCCUCAGUUCCCUACAAAGGGGGAUUCCAGCCCCAAUCCUCACUUCCCCAAGCUGUGGGACUUAGAGUAGAGAUGGCUGGUGUCCUUCAAUAUCUAGCCUCGCCUCUUCUUCCUGGGCAUACAGAGACCUUGACCUGGCAGCUUAACGUGGCUUUGGGCACGAGUGAUGUGCAAGCAUCCAGGCCUCUUUCCUAAGAUUCUCCCUCACUGGGUCCUCACCCUCUUCCCCGCUCCAGCCACCAGCUGACUAGACUAGAGCCUUCAAAGCCCUAUCGGAGGGUGGGGUCACAAGAUGGAAGGAGUCCGGGUCCCUGAAAGACUGUGUGGAGCAGAGUAUUUGCCACCCCAACCCCUCGGCCCUCCACCAGAGACUGUGACAUGAGCAAAAAACAUGUAUUUUUUAAAGCCAUCAAGGUUUAGGGGAUAUUUGCCAUAAUGGUUAGUCUAUCCUGACUCUAAUGCAGUGGUCUUUUAACUUGAACCUGUGUUAGAAUCACCAAGUGGAAGUGAAAGUGUUAGUUGCUCAGUCACGUCCGACUCUUUGCAACCCCCCUGUCCAUGGAUUUCUCCAGGCAAGAAUACUGGGGUGGGUAGCCAUUCCCUUCUCCAGGGGAUCUUCCUGACUCAGGGAUCAAACCUGGGUCUCCUGCAUUGCAGGCAGAUUCUUUACCGUCUGAGUCAUCGGGGAUGCCCCAGAACCACCAAAGGGCUGGUUACAACAGUGACUGCUGAGCUCUAUUCCUGAGUUUCUGAUACCACAGGCCCAGAGCGGGACCACAAAAUUUGCAUGUUUAACGAGUUCCCAAGUGACACCACAGCUGCUGGUCUAGGGGGUCACACGUAGAGAAUCAUCGCACCAUUGCUGAAGCUGCAGUGUUAUAAUCCGUAUCACCACUUUACAGAGGAAAUGGUCCCCAGUCCCUGUCUGUUUCACUGCCACUGUGCUGCCUCCACACUAGGCCACAUCCGUGUGUGGCCCCCCACAUCUGCCCCUUCUCUGCUCACGGAUUGUGUCCUGUGAGUUGGGGUCUUCAGCCAGGGUGGGAACAGUCCUUGGAGUAGACAUCCUGGGCUAUCAACCCAGUUCUGCUACUCAGCAUGCGCGGCACCCACGUGUUCCGCUUCCUCUAACGCCAAACAUACCUCACCUGCCCAGCAGUGUUGCCCAAAGUAGGUCUUUUAGUGAGGCUAUCUGACUGUUGCCCUUGAGCAGCAGAUACUUGGAACAGAAGGAACGAAUAUUGGUCCUAGAUGAGCCCAUUCCAGCCUCAUUCCUGAGAACCACGUGGACGUUCACCGGUAUUGCUGCCUCCAAGGCCAGUGACUGACAUUUGUCCCCGUACAGAGUUGGGGUGGAGGAAGGUGGGGGGUGGGAUAUAGAAAGAGACAAAAACACAGUUGAAAACUUUUAACGCACACCUUGGCCAGGGGUAAGAAUUGUGUUGCCCGGAGGAAGGAGGGGAGUUCACCAGCCGGGGACUGGGCCCCCACACCCCAGCUUCUUAGAACAUCCUCAUAGAUUCUCUUUUAUAUGAGAAUCCUGCAAGACACCCCCACCCCCUGCAGCUUCCAAGAAUGGUUUUAAGAUCCACAGAGAGGGGAGGUAAGCUCACUUCAAAAUGCAGUUAUGCUUGGAAAGAGAUUCAGAUGCACGUGAGAUGUCUAACUUUUAGAAGAGGUGACCAGAUGUUCUGUUGACUGUGGAGGAGCCAAUUUCAUUCUCAGGGCCCUGGUGAUCCCACACUCCUGGAUCAUCCCUCAAGGAGCCCUCAAAUCCAGGCUGUGGCCUGGAUUUAGCCAACGGGCAAUAGUGGUCCCCUGAGCUUAGAUGGGCGAGACUGGAAGGGGUAACUUGGGAUAUGACUGAGAUUUACAAUUGGAGGAACAGAAGACAAAUUCUACAUGUCUGCAGGAGUAGGUGACCCCAUGGGUCUAAAGCGGCUUUGCUGACAGUGGGCUCUCUGGGCAGCAGACGACCGGAGCCAUCCAGUCCCCACUGAGAAGGCAGCCAGUUCCCUUAGGACCCCUCUGAUAGUGGCUGGCCCUGACCAAGGGCACCCAGGAGACACCCUCAUCCCCUGGCUCCACUUCACAGUGAGAAGUUGGCUCCUUUGGACUUCCUGAAUGGGUCCUAUUUUUUAAAAAGUGAACUCUGCCAGAGAAACAAGAAGUGGAAGGAAAUUUGGAAUAAGCAGGAGAUCGUGGGUGGAAACCUCUGCCUGGUUUAGAGCACAGCCUUCAGUUAUCUGAUCCUGAUUCUCAAAUUUCACUGCCUUUGAGCUGUUUUGCAACUCUUUAAGUUGUAGUUAAUGCAAAAUACUUCUUGUUUAUGGACAUGCAUAUAGUAUAUUUGAAUGAUCCUCCAGGAAAAGGGAAUGACCAUUGACAUUUUCCCCCUGAAAAAAGGCCAGUCUCAACAUUCCUUUACUCUGUAUAGAUUUACAGUCCACUGCAAUUUCUCCUUUGAAUUGCUUGUUAAUCUUACCAGAUCCAUCGAUUAAUUAAUGAGUUAAAUCUUUCACACGUGCAUGUUUAACAUUUAGAUGAGUGAUGCCGCAUUCAAAAAAAAUAAUCUGACAAAAUACACAGGAAAGAAGGCCUCUCAGGAAUGAGAAGAGUUGCCAUGCAGGGCAACCCCCCCCCGGCAGCCCCACCCAUAUCACCCCCAACAGGAGGUGUCCAGCCUGGGUUUGCCUACCUCUAGCAACAGGGUGCUCAGUCCCUCCCAAAGGUCAGUUCUCCACAUGUAUGAUCAUAGCUGUGCUGACUUUUAAAAGUAGAACAAAGCAAGAACAGAUCUAAAACUAAAAAGAAAACACAGCCCUCCUCCCAGCCCCAGCUGAUGAUGACUGCUUGGACUCUCAAAAUCGCCUACAAACAAAGCUUGCAACCCCGGGCUCCCUGCAAAGGCACAGUAAGGCUGAAAUGGCUGGGCGGUGAGGACUAGGAGAGAGGGGAUGGUGUGGCCCAGAAGAAGGUGCCGCCACGAGGUGGAGCCCGAAGGUGAGACUGCUGGGCUCAUGUGCCUUAGAACAGUCUUAAGACACUGUUAACUGGCUGCCCUCCUGACCUUAGGGCUAUAAAUAAAAUCCAGAAGGUCUUAGAAACAAAGAUUUCCUCCUGGGGACCUGGGCUAGUACAGAGGAACUGCGCGCACAUGUCUUACACACACACACACACACACACACACACACACACGAGUGCCUCCAGUCCUGCCGCGGCCAUCCUGCGUCUGGGUUGGACACACUCACUUGUCAAGGUGGGAGGUGCACGGACCACCUCCUGGCCUUGGCUUCAGGCCUGCUCCAGGCCCCCCUGCUGGACUCAGCCCCUCACUCUGAGGCCUAGGGUGGGUCCCAGCACUUCUCUCAUCUCUGUUCUCCCUGCCUGGAAUGGAACCAAAUACGGUCUCCAACCACAGGAGCCUUCCCAUCCUAUCCAAACAUGUCAUCCUGCUAGUUUCAGAGCAUCUAUUCAGGUUCUUCUUUUUCGUCCAAGCUCAUUUACCCCAGGCUCCUUCGCCGGUCUCCCCCAGAUCAUCCCUUCAAGAGCUCUUGCAGGCAGGCUGUGGCCCUCUGCUGGGCCCCUUGGCCUGAGAGGAACACUGCUUCCUCUGGGGGCUUCAGGAGCUACGUCUCAGGCUGUGUUGGUUUCUGGAGGAUCCACACUACCAGCAAGAAGAAACCCAGUCUUCUGCCUCCCCACCACCAUGACACAGAAAGCAAACAGACCUUGAACCCCAAAUACCAGCCGAGCCCCCAACAGACCUAAGCCUUGUUCUUAAAAGGACAAGGAAGUGGGGCUUGUCACUUCAGCCUGGCUGGGAGCUUGAGCUGUUUCCCAUAACCCGGCAGCUGAGCCUGGUGGGGACUACUGCUGCUGCUAAGUCACGUCAGUCGUGUCCGACUGUGCGACUCCAUAGACAGCAGCCCACCAGGCUCUGCUGUCCCUGGGAUUCUCCAGGCAAGAACACUGCUAGUUAGAUAUAACUCAGUGAUUGCAUUAGCAGUUGUGAGGGGUGCCUACUAAGUAAUCCAUCUAAACCUAUGUUAAAAUGCUUAGAUGACCACCUCAUCUCAUUUAAACCUUGAAACAACCUCAUGUUGGAGGUGUUUUUCACAAAAAACACCCAAAGUGGUUAAAUAACUGGCCAAAGGCUACAAGGCUCAUGAGUAGUAGGUGGCUGGGCAUCUGAUAACACCCUUCAAGUUUACCUCGCUCUCUCCUCUACACAAACUCAUCAGAUUCUCCCAGAAACCUUGUGAAAUCAAGACCUCAAAUGAUUUCCACCUGAGAAAUGAAGAAGCUGAGGCACUGAGGUGUUUGGGGUUUGUAUGUACGUGUGUGUUUGGGGUGUUUGUUUUCAAGCCCGAGCUCACUGAAGCACAGGCCUUAAUCUAGAGCAGAGAGCCUGGUAAUACAAAGGAAGCCAAGCAAUGGCGACCCCACUCGGUCUCCGCGGGAAUACACCCUCAGAGCCAAGACCGCCCCCGCUUCCCCACCUACCCUGGGCUCACUAUCUAGUUUUGCCUCUGGCACAUAUCUACCUGUCUGGUGAAGUGGCCAAACCAAUAGGCUGAGCCCAUCAGGGUGAUCUGCCCUUCUCUAGAAGGGG